GUACACGCUGUGACUAGCAUAUCAAUAAGCGGAGGAAAAGAAACUAACAAGGAUUCCCUUAGUAACGGCGAGUGAAGCGGGAAGAGCUCAAAUUUGAAAUCUUCAAGGUUUUACCUUGACGAAUUGUAGUUUAAAGAAGUGUUUUCUGUUGAAGUUUUGGUAAAAGUUCUUUGGAAUAGGACAUCAUAGAGGGUGAGAAUCCCGUAUUUGACCAUUAUUUUCAGCUGUGUGAUACACUUUCAAAGAGUCGGAUUGUUUGGGAAUGCAGUCCAAAAUGGGUGGUAAAUUUCAUCUAAAGCUAAAUAUUGGCGAGAGACCGAUAGCGAACAAGUACCGUGAGGGAAAGAUGAAAAGAACUUUGAAAAGAGAGUUAAACAGUACGUGAAAUUGUCAAAAGGGAAGCGUUUGACACCAGUGUUGUUUUCUCGAAAAUCAAUUAAAAAAAGUUGGAUUUUGUGUUGUAUUGACCUUAACAGCUUUCUUCACUCUUUUCCUGCUUUUUUUAAUGCACUUCUCGUUUAACAAGUCAACAUCAGUUUCUUUUGUUGUAAAAGGGUCAUUGGAAGGUGGCUUUCUUUUCGGAGAAAGUGUUUAUAGCCUUUGGCCUCUGCAAUCGAAGAGACUGAGGUCUGCAGCGUAGACUCUUCGGGGUUAGAUACAUUUGUGCUAAGUUAUAGCUUUUUAUAGACAACUUGUUGACUAUAAUUAGUCUUGUAGCUUACUCGCUUAUGCUAUUUUACCUACGCUUAGGAUGUUGAACUACUGAGACAUAGA
rnacentral:rRNA from 1 species